GGUCGUAUAGUGUAGUGGUUAUCACUCGGGAUUUUGAAGAUAAGAUAAGAUUUCCCGAAACCCAGGUUCGAACCCUGGUACGACCU